CUACGGGUCGCUCCAGUGGGGAAUAUUGGACAAUGGGCGAAAGCCUGAUCCAGCAAUACCGCGUGUGUGAAGAAGGCCUGAGGGUUGUAAAGCACUUUCAAUAGGAAGGAAUACCUAUCGGUUAAUACCCGGUAGACUGACAUUACCUAUACAAGAAGCACCGGCUAACUCCGUGCCAGCAGCCGCGGUAAUACGGAGGGUGCAAGCGUUAAUCGGAAUUACUGGGCGUAAAGCGUGCGUAGGCGGUUAUUUAAGUCAGAUGUGAAAGCCCUGGGCUUAACCUGGGAACUGCAUUUGAUACUGGAUGACUAGAGUUGAGUAGAGGAGAGUGGAAUUUCAGGUGUAGCGGUGAAAUGCGUAGAGAUCUGAAGGAACACCAGUGGCGAAGGCGGCUCUCUGGACUCAAACUGACGCUGAGGUACGAAAGCGUGGGUAGCAAACAGGAUUAGAUACCCGUGUAGUC
rnacentral:rRNA from 1 species